rnacentral:rRNA from 1 species
AGUGAACGCUGGCGGUAGGCCUAACACAUGCAAGUCGAACGGCAGCACAGUAAGAGCUUGCCCUUACGGGUGGCGAGUGGCGGACGGGUGAGGAAUACAUCGGAAUCUACUUUUUCGUGGGGGAUAACGUAGGGAAACUUACGCUAAUACCGCAUACGACCUACGGGUGAAAGCAGGGGAUCUUCGGACCUUGCGCGAUCGAAUGAGCCGAUGUCGGAUUAGCUAGUUGGCGGGGUAAAGGCCCACCAAGGCGACGAUCCGUAGCUGGUCUGAGAGGAUGAUCAGCCACACUGGAACUGAGACACGGUCCAGACUCCUACGGGAGGCAGCAGUAGGGAAUAUUGGACAAUGGGCGCAAGCCUGAUCCAGCCAUGCCGCGUGGGUGAAGAAGGCCUUCGGGUUGUAAAGCCCUUUUGUUGGGAAAGAAAAGCAGCGGGUUAAUACCCCGCUGUUCUGACGGUACCCAAAGAAUAAGCACCGGCUAACUUCGUG